rnacentral:lncRNA from 1 species
AAGCAAAAUUCAAAUUGAAAAAGAAAAAAAGAUAAUGUGAACAUGCCAAACAAAAUGUCUCGAACAUAGAUAAAAUGCUAAAGCUUUAAACUGCCAAGAAAGCAUGAGAAAGUAAAAGAGCAUCAAAAGUAUUAACCACUUCCUUUUCGUCCCUUAUUCUUUUUCUUUUAUUUAUUCCUUUGCUAUGCAUUUCCUAAUUCCUUGUGCAAUUUUUCCCUAUUGUAAACAAAAUGAAUCAAAAGAAGCUGAAAAUGUAGAAGUACAAAAGCAAAAUCAAAAGUAAGCAACUAUAUUCUUUAUAUUCUUCUCCCCUUUUCUUUUUCUUUCAUCUAUUCCUUUGUUCUGUGUCUCCCAAUUCCAUAUUUCCCUGACUACUUUUCUCCAUUGUGUGCCUCUUGCUCUCUCUGCUUUUUCCAUCAAACAUGUCUCCUUAUAGCAUCUUUGUUUUCAUGGUACUGAGUCUAAUGAUGAAUAGCACCUGCUCUACAAGUUGGUAACCAGAAAAAUGUAAUUUUCUGCCAUCAUAAUCUGCAAACAAUCGGAACCAUCUACUAGCUCUAAUUUUC